CCCGAGGGUACCUGUUCUGAAUAGACGAUCUAAAGCACUUAACAUUUACAACAAUUUUAAAUGUUUAUUAAGCAUGUACCUGUAAAGCUCUUAUGUUUCAUGAUGCAAUGUUUAUCAAAAAUUCGGACGUCAUUUUUGCAAACAAAACAGUAAAAUGAAAAUGAAAACAGAGAUAUACUGAAUAACAUGAUUUUAUUGAUUGAAUGGCCUCUGAAUAGGCAUUUACAUCAGGAAGCAAUCCCCGGAAAGAGGUAAUCGCACAAAAGAUAAAAACAGAAAUUAAUCUAAUGGCAAUGUG
rnacentral:lncRNA from 1 species